rnacentral:rRNA from 1 species
ACGAACGCUGGCGGCGUGCUUCACCCCUGCCAGUCGCACGGAAAGGCCCUGCUUUUGUGGGGUGCUCGAGUGGCGAACGGGUGAGUAACACGUGAGUAACCUGCCCUUGACUUUGGGAUAACUUCAGGAAACUGGGGCUAAUACCGGAUAGGAGCUCCUGCUGCAUGGUGGGGGUUGGAAAGUUUCGGCGGUUGGGGAUGGACUCGCGGCUUAUCAACUUGUUGGUGGGGUAGUGGCUUACCAAGGCUUUGACGGGUAGCCGGCCUGAGAGGGUGACCGGCCACAUUGGGACUGAGAUACGGCCCAGACUCCUACGGGAGGCAGCAGUGGGGAAUAUUGCACAAUGGGCGGAAGCCUGAUGCAGCAACGCCGCGUGCGGGAUGACGGCCUUCGGGCUGUAAACCGCUUUCGCCUGUGACGAAGCGUGAGUGACGGUAAUGGGUAAAGAAGCACCGGCUAACUACGUG